GUCCAUUAGAGAGCCUAGUCGGUCCUAAACAAAGUAAAGGAGGUCGGUGAAGUCCAAAACGGAAGUGGUAUUUUUUUUAAUCUUAUUCCUGUUCAACCAAUCGCGUUAGUCCUUGGAGCCACGACGCUAAUAGGCCUCUUUUGAUUGGUCGUUCCGACACACGUGUCGAUUACAUACCCUACGUAUGUUUACUUCGUUGGCUUAAAGACGAGUUUUACUUUGUGGUAUAAUUACAUUUUUACAGUAAUUUCUGUCAUGGACAUACUAUAUUCAUCAAACUACAACGGUCAAAAAUGAGUGUUGUUGACAACAAUACAUCAGCAAAGUCAUACAACAAAUGUAUCUCGCAUACUAGUGAGUGCAUUUUUGCUGCUGGUCGACCUACCUACUACCAUACUACGCAUUGAGUUGUUCAUUUCUAAAAAAUAGCAAGGAUCAACAUGGCUACAAAUGAGGAGGUGCAAGAUAUUCUCUGCAAGUUGUGGACCAAACUGCAAGGGCUGCCAGAAGCCAAUUCACUGGAUCUGGGGGCCUUCUUAGUGAUUAUCCUUUUUAUUGUUACAGUCCUCGCCAUGGUCGCCCUUACCUGUGCCCAAUUCUGCAGCUGUACACAGUCAAAAUACCAGGCCUCCAGAGUGCAACCGUUAUAGAGUGUCUGAAGAUCAAAUGGCACAUCAGCGUUAAGAAAAUGUUGCUCUACUACCAACAUGAACACAUAUUGGAAGACCUCCUUUUCAGAGUUCUGGUGGGAUUACCAACAGGUAUUUGUCAUGGGAAGGAUGAACAUUUCCAACAAUUACAGCUUUUUGGAUCAAAAUUGCAAUAACAUGAAUCAUGGACUCCAUAUGACACAAAGAAACAUUGUUGGACUCAACUAAAUGGUAAAACGUAAAGAAGUACUUGAAGAAUUCCAGACUUCUUACUCAGGUUAUUCAUUAGGCUAGAGCGUAAUAUUAAAAAACAUGCAUGCCAACUGCAUAUGUUCUGUUCACAUUUUCAAGUAGUUUGUGUUGAACACUGGGGCGCUAUCUGCUGGUCAAUUUAGAGUUGGCCGGUCACUAUGAAUGCCACAUACUGUAAAAUCAAAGGAUUUGGGGGGCCAUUUAGAUAUUUUUUAUUUUUUAAUCAAGGUAAAAGCAACCCAGUUUGCUAAAAACUUAUGUUUAUUGAAAACAGCCAGCAUGUCUGUUGUGUGUUAUAACUGACACAGUAUCAAUAUUUUUUAUAAUUGUUAACAUUACUUUUUCCUGUUAUAUUCCUUCACUUUUUAUGUUGUUUAGUCGUCUGUUUACUGUCCCACAUUAAACCAAAAAUGUUGAGAGUUGUACAAAACAGUCAUCAUUCAGUAAUCCCUUUAUAAUUUUCAUUCUUUAGAUUCUAUACACGAUACAUUGUGAUACAUUUUAAUUUUCCAGAUGGUUUUAAAAACAUCAGAAAAAGUGAUAAAGUAAACUAACCAUAAUUAUUAUAAUUAUUAAUCACAAUAAUUUACUGCAUUUAUUUUUUAUAUCUAUCACACUUAUAGGUUUACUCGUUCGCUCCAAUGAUGCACUAGUAGCUGCAUUGUUUAAUGCAUUUUAUUUAAUGUGAGAAAUUUAAAUGUAUUACUGUAUUUUGUUGUGUCAUUCAUGUCACUAUUUACUGUAAUGCUGUAUGAGAAUCCCAGAGUUUUUGUUUGUCACACUAAAUAAAAAGA